rnacentral:rRNA from 1 species
UACGUAGGGUGCGAGCGUUAAUCGGAAUUGCUGGGCGUAAAGCGUGCGCAGGCGGUUGUGUAAGACAGGCGUGAAAUCCCCGGGCUCAACCUGGGAACUGCGCUUGUGACUGCACAGCUAGAGUACGGCAGAGGGGGGUGGAAUUCCACGUGUAGCAGUGAAAUGCGUAGAGAUGUGGAGGAACACCGAUGGCGAAGGCAGCCCCCUGGGCCGAUACUGACGCUCAUGCACGAAAGCGUGGGUAGCAAACAGGAUUAGAUACCCUGGUAGUCCACGCCCUAAACGAUGUCAACUAGGUGUUGGGUGGGUAAAACCAUUUAGUACCGUAGCUAACGCGUGAAGUUGACCGCCUGGGGAGUACGGCCGCAAGGUUAAAACUCAAAGGAAUUGACGGGGACCCGCACAAGCGGUGGAUGAUGUGGAUUAAUUCGAUGCAACGCGAAAAACCUUACCUACCCUUGACAUGUCCAGAAGCCCGGAGAGAUUUGGGUGUGCCCGAAAGGGAACUGGAACACAGGUGCUGCAUGGCUGUCGUCAGCUCGUGUCGUGAGAUGUUGGGUUAAGUCCCGCAACGAGCGCAACCCUUGUCGUUAAUUGCCAUCAUUUAGUUGGGCACUUUAACGAGACUGCCGGUGACAAACCGGAGGAAGGUGGGGAUGACGUCAAGUCCUCAUGGCCCUUAUGGGUAGGGCUUCACACGUCAUACAAUGGUCGGUACAGAGGGUUGCCAAGCCGCGAGGUGGAGCCAAUCCCAGAAAGCCGAUCGUAGUCCGGAUUGCAGGCUGCAACUCGCCUGCAUGAAGUCGGAAUCGCUAGUAAUCGCGGAUCAGCAUGUCGCGGUGAAUACGUUCCCGGGUCU